AUUGAACGCUGGCGGCAGGCCUAACACAUGCAAGUCGAGCGGAGCGGCUUACGGGUGAGUAAUUCCUAGGAAUCUGCCUUGUAGUGUGGGAUCACGUCCGUAUACGGGCGCUAAUCCCGCAUCCUAUCAGAUGAGCCUAGGUCGGAUUAGCUAGUUGGUGGGGUAAAGGCCUACAAAGGCGACGAUCCGUAACUGGUCUGAGAGGCUGUUGAGUCACACUGGAACUGAGACCAGGUCCAGACUCCUACGGGAGGAAGAAGUGGGGAAUAUUGGACAAGGGGCGAAAGCCUGAUGAAGCCAUGCGGGGUGUGUGAAGAAGGUCUCCGGAUGGUAAGGCAGGUUAAGUUGGGAGGCGUUAACAACAGAAUAAGCACCGGCUAACUACGUGCCAGCAGCCGCGGUAAUUC
rnacentral:rRNA from 1 species